GACGAACGCUGGCGGCGUGCUUAACACAUGCAAGUCGAACGGAACGGCCCUGCUUUUUUGGGGUGCUCGAGUUGCGAACGGGUGAUUAACACUUUAGUAACCUGCCCUUGACUUUGGUAUAACUUCAUGAAACUGGGGCUAAUACCGGAUAGGAGCUCCUGCUGCAUGGUGGGGGUUGGAAAGUUUCGGCGGUUGGGGAUGAACUCGCGGCUUAUCAGGGAGUUGGUGGGGUAGUGGCUUACCAAGGCGUUGACGGGUAGCUGGCCGGAGAGGAGGACCAGCAACAAUGGGAAUGAGACACGGACCAGACUGCGACGAGAGGAAGCAGGGGGGAAUAUUGGACAAUGGACGCAAGUCUGAGCAAGCAAUGCGGGGGGAGUGAGGAAGGCGUUAGGGUUGUAAAGCUCUUUGACAAGGGAUGAGAAUGACAGUACCGGGAGAAGAAGCUCCGGCUAACUCCGUG
rnacentral:rRNA from 1 species